rnacentral:rRNA from 1 species
AACGCUAGCUACAGGCUUAACACAUGCAAGUCGAGGGGUAACGAUAUUGGAAGCUUGCUUCCGAUAGGCGUCGACCGGCGCACGGGUGAGUAACGCGUAUCCAACCUGCCCACCACUUGGGGAUAACCUUGCGAAAGUAAGACUAAUACCCAAUGAUAUCUCUAGAAGACAUCUGAAAGAGAUUAAAGAUUUAUCGGUGAUGGAUGGGGAUGCGUCUGAUUAGCUUGUUGGCGGGGUAACGGCCCACCAAGGCGACGAUCAGUAGGGGUUCUGAGAGGAAGGUCCCCCACAUUGGAACUGAGACACGGUCCAAACUCCUACGGGAGGCAGCAGUGAGGAAUAUUGGUCAAUGGGCGAGAGCCUGAACCAGCCAAGUAGCGUGUAGGAUGACGGCCCUAUGGGUUGUAAACUGCUUUUAUAAGGGAAUAAAGUGAGUCUCGUGAGACUUUUUGCAUGUACCUUAUGAAUAAGGACCGGCUAAUUCCGUGCCAGCAGCCGCGGUAAUACGGAAGGUCCGGGCGUUAUCCGGAUUUAUUGGGUUUAAAGGGAGCGUAGGCCGGAGAUUAAGCGUGUUGUGAAAUGUAGACGCUCAACGUCUGCACUGCAGCGCGAACUGGUUUCCUUGAGUACGCACAAAGUGGGCGGAAUUCGUGGUGUAGCGGUGAAAUGCUUAGAUAUCACGAAGAACUCCGAUUG